rnacentral:rRNA from 1 species
CGGCGGACGGGUGAGUAACGCGUGGGAAUCUACCUAGUAGUGGGGGACAACAGUUGGAAACGACUGCUAAUACCGCAUACGCCCUGAGGGGGAAAGCGGGGGAUCUUCGGACCUCGUGCUAUUAGAUGAGCCCGCGUAAGAUUAGCUAGAUGGUGGGGUAAUGGCCUACCAUGGCGACGAUCUUUAGCUGGUCUGAGAGGAUGAUCAGCCACAUUGGGACUGAGACACGGCCCAAACUCCUACGGGAGGCAGCAGUGGGGAAUAUUGCACAAUGGGGGAAACCCUGAUGCAGCCAUGCCGCGUGUGUGAAGAAGGCUCUAGGGUUGUAAAGCACUUUCAGUGGGGAGGAAAAGUUGUAAGUUAAUAGCUUGCAACCGUGACGUUACCCACAGAAGAAGCACCGGCUAACUCCGUGCCAGCAGCCGCGGUAAU